rnacentral:lncRNA from 1 species
UGGUGAUGAAAUUAGAUUAGAUUAGAUUAGAUUAGAUUAGGCUUUAUUGAUCCUUUUGUGAUGACUCCCUCAAGGAAAUUGAUUGUCCAGUAGUUUACAGAAGAAACACAACACAAUAUUAAAUUAUAUACAAUAUAAGAUAAACAAUACACUCUUAGAUAACUAUAAAAAGUAAAACACAAAGUAAACAGUAAACAAUAAUUAUAAUAAUAUAAGAUAAACAAUAAACUCUUAACUAACUAACUAACUAUAAAAAGUAAACAAAAACAGUAAACAAUAAACUCUUAGCUAAUAUAGAAAGUAGAGAUAAUAAUAGAAGUAAAACAGGAUUCAAGUAAAAUAAAAAGAUAAAUGUAGAGAACUGUAUAGAGGAUUAAUAUAAAUAAAUAAAUAUAUAUAAAUAAAUUAAAUAAAUAAAUGUAAACAUAAAUAAGCAUAUAUAUAUAUGCAUAUACACAUGCAAUGAAUGCAUGAAAUGGAAUAGCUUUUAAACAGAAGCUUUGGGUAGCUCUUAAAAGAGCUGUUGGUUUGGUUGGUUCUUUUAAGGCCUAUGUAACGGACCUAUUGUGUAUCCACCUGUAUUGCGCCCCGGAACCUUUUGUUUACGUGUCACCCGGUACCCUUUUAGAGGCGCACAGCAGCAUUCACGGCAAUGCGUGUUUCGCGCGUAGUCGCGUCGAAGACGUAAGUUAAUAUGUCUUAAAGCCUGUAUUUUGGUUAUAUAAAUGUUGGGUUCAUAUUGAAACAUUUUGUGUGUAAGUUUUAUAGUUCAUUUGUCUUACACCGGUCGCAUUUCUAUGCCGUUUUAUGUCUGUGAAUAGCGUAUGAAGCAAGCUAACGGCUGACCCAUGAAUGUCCGGUGAAUGCAACUUUUCCCUCUCAAUUUACCCUUGUCUUGCACCCUUGGCAAGCGGAGCGAGCAUCUCUGUCAGCAUUGUUGGUGCCAAGGCGAGGUGCGUUCUGGAGACCUUGUGAUGGCUCAGCUGUGGAUGUUCCAGUAGAUGACUUAGCCGGUAUUGUAGUGCUG